AGCAGACCUCCAGCAAGCAGACAUGCCUGGGUUCCAGUGAGCUGCCCAUUCUGCUGCCCUCCGAGUUCACAGGUGAGGGAGAGUCAGCUCCGAGAGGAUACUUGGGCAACUACAGGGAUGCGACGAAGCAGGAUCUGAACCCAGACCCCUUGAUCUCCAGCCCUCAGUGGAUACAGCCAAGCCACAGAGGUGCCACAGUUCUAGAAAUGGUGGCUCUUGGAGGAGCUGGGUCAGGAUUUCAGCCUGGGCAUUCCGAUUCCAGAGGCUGCUGAUCUUCUGGACACCCACCACCACCGCGCCUCCCUGCGGCUCCCACUAGAACAAGGACAGCAGAGGAGACUGAAGGAGAGGAGACACUGGGGUCAAGGAUGCAGAUUUUCCAUCCAGCUCAAAAGAAGUGAGCCUGGGAUAACUGGCGUCCAUGGGAGGUGUUUGGUCCUUCACCAACUCUUAACGGACACAUUUUAAAUAUUGGAUAAUACAUUUUUAAAGCACAGCAGGUUCCCAUAACCCAGCAAGAGCAACUCCAGAGAGGCCCAAGGAAGUUCUGGAAUAAAAUCAUAGCUAACCUCCA
rnacentral:lncRNA from 1 species